AGUCUGCCAGCUGGGAUUGUGCGAGAGAUUGGGGGAAUAGCAUUUAAUAAUAAUCUUCAGUAUCACUGACUACCAUGAACAUCAAGAGUCUCUUUACAAUCAGCAAGAGACGGCGCACUGUUUACUGUAUGAGUGAACAGGAGUUAUGCUAUGCUUCCUGGAGUCUUCUCAGUGAGGAGAGGAGUGGACAUGAUCGAGUGCACUGUUCACAUAUAAGUCUUACACUCCAUGUGUCACAGUGUGAACUUAAGACCAGAAGUCAGGAGGACGCUCCUUUCACUCAUCCAAGAGAUCUGCUCCAGCAGUGGGACAGAGCAAAUAGCCCUGUGUCUGGGCCCAAGGAUCAUGAGCAUGUCGCCCAUGACCAGGAGUAACAGCCCAACAACAUCACCCACUCCCUCCGAAGACCAUGCUUUACAACAUGUUAAAGACAACUUCUGGUUUUUGUUUUCUGAAUCAAGGUGUGAGCAAGGUGCCAGAGUCCUUUUGAAAGUUAUUCCCGUGGUAUUAGCAAAGGAAGCUAACAAACUGGCCAGGGGAAUUGAAAGUGUGGACAAUGAUAAGAGAUAUCCUUGUUGGUCAGUCUCUGAGUUGGAAACAUAAGUCUAAAGAGUAACGUGGUGACUUGGAUCUAUGGAUAAGUAGUGAUUAGCUGCUUCAAGAAGACCAUCAUUUCAGUACCUAGGAAAGCACAUGCAACACACUUUAAUGACUACCGCCCAGUGGCUCUGGCCUCCAUAAUCAUGAAGUGCUUUGAGAGGCUGGUCAUGGCCCACAUCAACUCCAGUCUCCCAGCCUGCCUUGAUCCCCUACCACUUGCCCAACUACCUAAUGGGUCCACAGCAGAUCCCAUUUCCCUAGUCUGCACUCAUCCCUGAAACAUCUGACAAGGACGUCUACAUUAGACUCCAGCUCAUCAACUACAGCUCUGCCUUCAACACCAGUAACACCUCCAAAAUGACCUCAAAACUCAGAGAUCCAGGUGAAUAAAGGCAGCUACAGAGGCACGAGGGAGGAGCUGGGUGGAAUAUCCUGGUGGAGGAGCCUAGCAGAAAAGACAGUGCUCGGUUCACAAUAAACAACUGCACCUCCCAGUCGCGAACCAUUUCAACUCCCUCUCCCAUUCUUCAGAUGACAUGUCCAUCCUGGGCCUCCUGCAGUGCCACAACGAUGCCAUCCGAAGGUUGCAGGAACAGCAACUCAUAUUCAGCUUGGGAACUCUGUAGCCCAAUGGUAUCAAUGCGGAUCUGACAAGCUUCAAAAUCUCCCCUCCCCAUACUGCAUCCUAAAACCAGCCCAGCUCAUCCCUGCCUCCCUAAACUGUUCCUUCUCUCACCUAACCCCUCCUCCCACCUCCAGCUGCACCCCCAUUUCCCACCUGCUAACCUCAUCCCAUCCCCUUGACCUGUCCAUCCUCCCUGGACUGACUUAUCUCCUCUCUACCUCCCCAUCUACACUCACCUUUACUGGCUCCAUCCCUGCCUCUUUGACCUGUCUGUCUCCUCUCCACCUAUCUUCUCCUCUAUCCAUCUUCAAUCCGCCUCCCCCUCUUUCCCUGUUUAUUUCAGAACCCUUCCCCUCCCAUUUCUGAUGAAGGGUCUAGGCCCGAAACGUUCCUGCUCCCAAGAUGCUGCUUGGCCUGCUGUGUUCAUCCAGCUCUACACCUUGUUAUCUCGGAAUCACAAUGGCAGGAGUUUCUAGGAGUCAUUCAAGAGAUACAGCAAAAACUCAUCCCCAGGAAAAAUAAGCAGCAUCUAGAGAGGAUGUGGCAACCGUGGCUGACUAGGGAGAUCAGAGAUAGCAUAAAAGCAAAAGAGAAAGCAUGUAAUGUGGUGAAGGGCAGUGGGGAACCAGAGGUUUGGAAAGCUUACAGAGGGCAACAAAAAAAAGGAGGAAGAAGAUUAAAUAUGGGGGUAAAUUAGCCAGUAAUAUAAAGGAGGACUGUAAGAGUUUCUUUAGAUAUAUAAAGGGCAGAAAAGAGGCAAAGGUGGGCAUUGGGAGUGCUGGAAAAUGAUUCUGGAGAGAUAGUAAGGGACAAAGAAAUGGCUGAGGAGCUGAAUAAUUACUGUGUUAAUUGGAAGACACAAGUAAUAUCUGAAAAAUUCAAGAGUCAGGGGACAGAGCUGAAUAUGGUGGCCAUCACCAAGGAGAAGGUGCUAGAAAUACUGGCUUGAAGGUAUAUAAGUCACCAGGACCAGAUGUACUACACCUAGAGUUCUUAAGGAGAUAGCUGAAGAGAUAGUGGAGGUAUUAAUGGUGAUCUUUCAGGAAUCACUAGAGUCAGGGAGAGUCCCAGAUUGCUAACAUGAAACCCCUGUUUUGAAAGCGAGUAAGGCAAAAGACUGUAAAUCACAGACUGAUGAGGCUAACCUUGGCCAUGGGUAAGAUUUUUAGAGUCCAUUGUGAAGGAUGUGAUUUCUGAAUACCUGGAAGUGCAUGAUAAAAUAAGGCAAAGUCAACAUGGUUCAUCAAGGGGAGGUCAUGUCUGACAAAUCUGUUAAUGCUUUAAGGAAGUAACAAACAGGUUUAAUGAAGGAGAGCCAAUGCAUGUUAUCUACCUGGACUUCAAGAAGGCCUUUGACAAGGUGCCACACAGGAAGCUGCUGACUAAGAUAAGGGCCUAUGGUGUUAGAGGCAAAGUGCUGGCAUGGAUAGAAGAUUGGUUUCUGCCAGAGAGUGGGUCUUUUUCAGGAUGGCAGCCAGUGACAAGUGAUGUUCUGCAAGGGUCAGUAUUGGGAACCAUGAUUUUUCACUUUAUACAUUAAUGAUCUCGAUGAAGGAACAGAGGGCAUUCUGGCUAAGUUUGCAGAUGAUACAAAGGUAGGUAGAGGGACGAAUAGUAUUGAAGCGGGAAGUUGCAGAAGGAUUUGGACAGGUUAGUAAGGGAUAAAUGGAGUACAGUGUUCGAAAGUGUGAGGUCAUGCACUUUGGUAAGACUAAAAGAAGCAUGGACUAUUUUCUAAAUGGGAAGCAGAUACAUAAGCCUGAAGCACAGAGACAUGGGCGUUCUAGUCCGGGAUUCUCACAAGGUAAACUUACAAGUUGAGUCAGUAGUUAGGAAGGCAAAUGCAACUUCAGCAUUUACUUGAGUGGGCUUGAAUAUAAGAGCAGCGAUGUACUUCCUAGGCUCUAUAAGGCCUUGGUCAGGCCACAUUUGGAGUAUAGUGCACAGUUUAGUGCCCCAUAUAUCAGGAAAAGUGUACUGGCUCUGGAGCGGAUUCAGCAGAGGUUCACAAGAAUGGGCCAGGAAUGAAAAGCUGAACGUAUGAGGAAUGAUUGAGGACUCUGGGUCUGUACUCGAUGGAGUUUAGAAGGAUGAGGGGGAAUUUAAUUGAAAUUUAUGGAAUAUUGAAUUGCCUGAACAGGGUGGACGUAGAGAAGAUGUUUCCAAUGGGAGGAAAGACUAAGACUUGAAGGCACAGCCUGAGAGUAAGAGAAGACCUUUUAGAUCAGAGAUAAGGAGAAACUUCUUCAGCCAGAGAGAGGUGAAUCUAUGGAAUUCACUGUCACAGAAAACUCUCGAGGCCAGGUCAUUCCAUAUAUUUAAGACAAAGAUACAUAGAUUCUUGAUUGUCAAGAGGAUCCAGGGUUAAGGGGAGAAAGCAGGAGGUUGUGUUUGAGAAACCUAUCAGCCAUGAUUGAAUAGCCUGAUUUCUGCUCCUAUGUCUUAUGGUCUCAGCUCUGCCCUCCGCAACUAGGUCCUCAGCUUCCUGACCCACAGACCACAAUCAAAGAAGAUAGACAACUACACCUCUUCCACAAAAACAGUCAACAUGAGAGCAACCCCAAGAUGUGUUCUCAGCCCCCUACUGUAUUCCUUGUGCACUCACGACUCUGUUGCCAAAUUUCGAACAAACACCAUCUACAAGUUUGUUGAUGACACUACUAUGGUAGGACGAAUAUAAAACAAUGAUGAAUCAGAAUACGGGAAGGGGAUAGAGGGCAUGGUGAUGUGGUGCAAUAAUAACAACCUCUCCCGCAAUGUCAGCAAAAGUAAAGAACUGAUCAUUGACUUCAGAAAAAACCUGUCUGAAUCUACAAUCAACGGAGCAGAGGUUCAGUGUGUAGAGACUGACAGCUUGACCUGGGCUUCCCAUGUAGAUGUGGCGAUCAAGAAGGCAUAACAGUGCCUCCUCUCCUCAGGUGGCUCAGGAAAUUAUGCAUGUCCAUAAGGGCCCCUGCCAACUUUUACAGGUACACCAUAGAAAGUAUACUGUCCGGGUGCAAUAUUGCCUGGUAUGGCAACUGCUCUGCCCAGGACUGUAAGAAACUAAGAUAACAAAGUGUGAAGCUGGAUGAACACAGCAGGCCAAGCAGCAUCUCACGAGCACAAAAGCUGAAGUUUUGGGCCUGGACCCUUCCUCAGAGAGGGGGAUGGCGAGAAGGUUCUGGAAUAAAUAGGGAGAGAGGGGGAGGCGGACCGAAGAUGGAGAGAAAAGAAGAUAGGUGGAGAGGAGAGUAUAGGUGGGGAGGUAGGGAGGGGAUAGGUCAGUUCAGGGAAGACGGACAGGUCAAGGAGGCAGGAUGAGGUUAGUAGGUAGGAAAUGGAGGUGUGGCUUGAGGUGGGAGCAAGGUGAGAGGAAGAACAGGUUAGGGAGGCGGAGACAGGCUGGGCUAUACAGGUUCGUGCGCAUAGCCCAGACCAUCGUUGAGGCCAACCUUUCAUCCACGGACUCCGUUUACAUGCCAUGGAAAAGCUGCCAAAAUUACUGAAGACCCAUCCUAUCCUGGUAAUGCUUUCCUACACCUUUUCCGUCAGGCAGAGGAUACAGAAGCUUGAACAUGCAUCAGCAGGUUCAAGAACAGUUUCUUCCUUUCUGCCAUUAUACUGAUGAAUGGACUGUAACUUCAAAUAAUGCAGGCCUUAUUAAUGUUAAUCUUGUCUGACAUACUGUAUAACAUGUAUGCCUAACUCUGUCCAAUAUUUUUGUUCACCCUAUGAUCUGCCUGUACUGAGGGUUGUUGACAUUCGGCGAGCAAAGCAACCUCAUAGACAAACCAAGCUAUGGAUCUUUGCCAAAAAUUUAAAUCUGCCUGUACUGCUUGCAAGAAAACUUCACAGUACUUAGGUACAUAUGACAAUAAAUCAAGUCAAACAAAA